GCCAUUUUAAUAUGCCAAUUGUAUAUUUUGCAUAGCUAGUACACGUGUUACUUACUAUUAACAAGCUUUAAGAGUGUUUCUUUCUCGUCUGUCAAUAAUCGUCUUUCUUGUACGAUGUGGCUUUCACCUUAAGUUUAUAAUUUUUACACACGAACUGUAUUUAUUGCUCUUUAAUAAAUAGAUUGAUUCAAGUUCAAGAUCUUCCCUCUGUUUAUUCUGUGCCGCUGUGAAUCUGUG